rnacentral:lncRNA from 1 species
AUUACAAUGGAGAAGACAUCGUCGUCGACUAAUUCUAACUCGAACACAUUACCCUUCUUCGUUUUGAUCGAUGCAAUCUUGUUGCACGCGAUUUCUAACUGCUUAAGUAGAGUUCAGAAUGUUUUUUCAAGGUUUCAGUCUGUUCUCCUCCAAUCCCAAGACAGUUGUUGUAACUCGACAAAGGUUUUGAAUGAGAAGAAGUCGGCUUCUGAGCCAAGGCGAUUGCAGAUGACCUUCGAGAAGAGAGGUGAUGAUGGGAGUUUGAGAAGAGAAGAUGUGCAUAUGGUGAUGGGAGACUUGGGAGUUUUUUGCAGUCCAGAAGGUGAGCAACUGCCGGAGACGCUUAGUUCCGAUGAGCUUUCAGGGCUGUUUGAUGAGAAGG